GCCAGUUUUCCAGUUUUGUCGUUUCUCCGUCAUCUCCGACUCGGGCAGUGACGGUGGUGUCUUGGGAAAUGCAGCUCUGCAGGCUCCCGGUAAACUGAGGUCGAGGGCCCCGUACUCGACAAACUCCUGCACCAUGAUGUCUGUAAGGCACAGCGAGGUCUGUUUCUACAGCUGUACUUCAAACUAAACACAAGGUGUUGGAGACCCUUGAGCUUCUACAGAGCUGCUGUUGCGCAUGAUGAUCAGAUUUGUAAGCUCUGUAGGUAGAGCAGAAAACAUGUACAUUUUUAUAAUGUUUAUGUUUAUGGUUGGACAUAUGAAGUAUCAUCAGAUCCAUAGCUUGGGAAACACACCUUUUGGUCGGGGUGGACAGCAGCGAGCCAACAUGACAGGAACCUGUACCUGAACACAGACAGUGAGGAAGAAGUUCUCAUAGUUCUUGGGACUCUGCCGGAGAAGAAAUGUACUGCCUUUAAAUCCUGACUUUUUCAACUUGUUGACUGCAAACUCGGAUCUGAUAAAACAAGAUAUGAAGAAAAUAUCUAAAACAGGAUGACAACUGGUUUCAAUUCCAGUUUCCCCUGUGACCCGCACAAGACAGAAAGCUGACUUUGAAUGCGAGGACGAAGGAUUCACUUGGAAGGUUUCGCUUCCCAGAGAGGGUUCGAUGCCUGCCAGUUCAAUCAGGUACUUGAGCUUCAAGCUGCACUCAUCUAUGGAGCAGUUACCAAGCUUCUUUAAGAAGCGCUUGAGGGUGUUUCGGAUUCGAUAACGAUCGAGGCGGUUUCGUCUCUGGAUGUCGUGGCGAUGUAACUUAGGAAGGCAUGAUUUGUAGCUGGAAGAGGAAGAGAAAAACACUUGUUGUAAUGGUUGUAAACUUCAACAAAUAUAACAAAUCAUUAUCGUCGAAACAUGUAGUCCUACAAAGUUUUAACUGGUGAGGAAAAAUGAUACAAAAUCCUGAUGUAAAUACCUGACAGUCUUGCAGAGCUCUCUUACACUCUGAUGCCGCUCUUUAGCCAUUCUCCACAAGUCCAGCAC